CUGGAUUCCCAGAAGUGCCUCUUGAGUUUGUCAUCCUCCUUUGUCCCCAUCGCCUCAGCGCGUCAUCCCUGCUCAGCUGUCGCGGCAGCCUUCGAUCUUGUCUUCCCGCCACCAGCGCAGGACAGUAGGCAGUAAAGCUGGGGCUCCGUGGCGUGGUCCGGUUAUGGAGGAUGGCUGCACCUUUCCUCUGCCGGAACAGGCGUUUGGCGAGGGACAAAGUACUUUCUGACGCAGGGGAGCGAAUGUGAGGGAGAAGAGAAACGAUACCUGCAGAAUGCAGCUGCUAUAAUCCACGGCUUGUGGAGGCGAUGCAUGAAGCAGCUCUGAAAGACUUCAGAUGACCACAGCUUGGCCGGACUGUAGUUCAGCUGCUCACCGAUCGCCUCAGCACAAAUGUGCACCUUGUUUUUUCCACUUAACAGUAAAUCUUAGAGAUCAUUUCGUAUCAAUAUGCAAAAUGACUCCCCAUUCUUCUAUAAAGAGUUAUUAGUAUUCUAUGUCUCAGAAUUUAUUGGAUGGGUCCUGUGUUGUUAUUGCAAACAAUGUUGCAGUGAAUAACAUGUCAUUUCAGAUGUGGGUGUAUAUCAGAACAGCUUUUCAGGAAAUAGAAUCAAAGAGUUGAAGGGCAUGCAUAUUUUAAAAUUUGGUAGAUAAUGUCCAAUUAUCCAGCGGUACCGGUUGACCAUCCCACUAAAAGGGUAUGAAUGUUUCUCCACCUCCUCACCAACAGAAUAUGUUAUAAACCUAUUGAUCUUAGAUAACGUGAGAGGUAAAAAAAGGAUGGCAUCUUAUUCUGAGUUACUUGUAUUUUCUUUUUUAUUAACUGUUUGUUCCCUUUACCCCCUUUCCUACUGAGUCUUUUUUUCUCAGAGCUCUUAUAAAGAAAUUUGCUCUUUGUGCUAUGAAUUACAAACAUAUUUUCCAGUUUGUAGUUUGUCUUGACUUUGCUUCUGGCAGUUUGCUAUGUUAAUAUGUUUUCCUUUUAAGCUGUAGUAAAAAGCUUAAAUUUUUUUUAAUGAAUUCUGGAUUUUAUAUCAUACUUCAAACUUCACUCUGAAAUUUUUUUAAAUAUCACUUGAUUUUUUUUUUUGGUACAUUUUUGGUUUCAUUCUUACAUUUAAAUAUGUGAUCCGUUUGGAAUUUGUUUUGGUAUCAGGUAUGAUAUAUCAGAACAUCUCCUGGAGAAGGAAAUGGCAACCCACUCCAGUAUUCUUGCCUGGGAAAUCCCACAGACAGAGGAGCCUGGUUGGGUACAGUCUGUGGGGUCUCAAAGAGUCGGACGUGACUGAGCGUGCACACGUGCAUGUGUAUAAGAUGUACGGAUCCAACUUAGAGCUUUCUAGAUGGCUGCCUAGUCGUUGCCAUACAGUUUAUUAAAUCAUGUGUCUUCUCUAAACUCCCACUUUUAUAAUAUUCCAAUUCCAAUGUGUAUUUGGAUACAUUUGAAAGAAAUUAAAGUUUUUCUUGAC
ensembl:lncRNA